ensembl:lncRNA
UGUGGUUGAGCAGACACAAAUGUGUUCAUUAUAAUAUGAGUUCAUGCAGGGGACAACGGCAAUUCACAGGUGUGGGAUACUGCACCUCUCUGCUCCAAACAUUUGAAUGGUUGUCUUGGCAUACAUGUGUUUCUCUGACCUGAUAAUGACCUUCUUUCUCAUAGUGAGAAUCAUCUCCUCCAACACUGCCUGAUGUGGCAGUGUUUGGACUAUCACAUAAACACUAGUGGAUAACAGCAUUCACCCAGCUCCCCAGUCCUGUGAGUGUGUUGCUGUGUGCCGCUGCAGGUCGGCGUGGUCCGCAGGGCGUGAGAGAGCAGCAGGAUUUCUCAGCCCAAGUCACAGCUGCAGUGAGGCCGCAAAAGUGGUUUACCACCCCAGCACAGCAGCACCGUCCCUAAGGUAGACAUACAGAUGAUCACAGCAGCACCGUCCCUAGGGUAGACAUACAGAUGAUCACAGCAGCACCGUCCCUAGGGUAGACAUACAGAUGAUCACAGCAGCACCGUCCCUAAGGUAGACAUACAGAUGAUCACAGCAGUCUCACUGUUUUGGCUAACGUGCGCAAGCACACAUGGGCACAUACAAUUUCCAGUGCAUCUUACUAUAAAAGCUGCACUUAUCUGUGAUUUACAGGGGCAUCUGGGUCUAAUCCACCAUCAUUCAUACCCACCAC